GACGAACGCUGGCGGCGUGCUUAACACAUGCAAGUCGAACGGAGCGGGGACGGGUGAGUAACACGUGGAUAACCUCCUAUAAGACUGGGAUAACUUCGGGAAACCGGAGCUAAAACGGAUACUUAGCGAUGAAUCCGCUCGGCAUUAGCUAGUUGGUAAGGUAACGGCUUACCAGGGCAACGAGGCAUAGCCGACCUGAGAGGAGGAACGGCCACACUGGAAAUGAGACACGGUCCAGACUCCUACGGGAGGCAGCAGUAGGGAAUCUUCCGCAAUGGGCGAAAGCCUGACGGAGCAACGCCGCGUGAGUGAUGAAGGUCUUCGGAUCGUAAAACUCUGUUAUUAGGGAAGCGGUAUCUAACCAGAAAGCCACGGCUAACUACGUGCCAGCAGCCGCGGUAAUUC
rnacentral:rRNA from 1 species